CCCUUUUCUCCAGCCAGGCCGAAUCAUAGCUCCUUCCUGUUCCCCGGCAAUUCGGUCUGCUUGCAGGGAGGGUAUUGCUCGCUGCAGGCAGCCAGUUCUACCCGUGAGCAGCUUGGCACCUUGGGACCUCUUCUCAGCCAGAUUCCUCCCUGGAGUGAGGAUGCUCCUCAAGGUCACGCCUUGAGGCUGAGAGAAAUGUUUUCCCAUGGUCAUUGGUUUGGGUUCCACCUGCACAUUGGAUGGGAGAGAAGGUCACAGAAAGCUGUCAGCAAACAUGAAGCAAAAGGACCUCUGGACAGCAAGGCAAGG